UACGUAGGGCGCAAGCGUUAUCCGGAAUUAUUGGGCGUAAAGAGCUCGUAGGCGGUUUGUCGCGUCUGCCGUGAAAUCCCGAGGCUCAACUUCGGGCUUGCAGUCGAUACGGGCAGGCUAGAGUUCGGUAGGGGAGACUGGAAUUCCUGGUGUAGCGGUGAAAUGCGCAGAUAUCAGGAGGAACACCAAUGGCGAAAGCAGCUCGCUGGGACGGUACUGACGCUGAGACGCGAAAGCGUGGGGAGCAAACAGG
rnacentral:rRNA from 1 species